CGUUCCUACGGGAGGCAGCAGUGGGGGAUAUUGCACAAUGGGGGAAACCCUGAUGCAGCGACGCCGCGUGGGUGAAGAAGCGCCUUGGCGCGUAAAGCCCUGUCAGCAGGGAAGAAAAUGACGGUACCUGAAGAAGAAGCCCCGGCUAACUACGUGCCAGCAGCCGCGGUAAUGCGUAGGGGGCAAGCGUUAUCCGGAUUUACAGGGUGUAAAGGGGGCGCAGACGGCGAUGCAAGCCAGGAGUGAAAGCCCGGGGCCCAACCCCGGGACUGCUCUUGGAACGGCGUGGCUAGAGUGCAGGAGGG
rnacentral:rRNA from 1 species